rnacentral:rRNA from 1 species
UGGGGAAUAUUGGACAAUGGGGGGAACCCUGAUCCAGCCAUGCCGCGUGUGUGAAGAAGGCCUUAUGGUUGUAAAGCACUUUAAGCGAGGAGGAGGGUACUGGUAUUAAUACUACCAGGUACUGGACGUUACUCGCAGAAUAAGCACCGGCUAACUCUGUGCCAGCAGCCGCGGUAAUACAGAGGGUGCGAGCGUUAAUCGGAUUUACUGGGCGUAAAGCGUGCGUAGGCGGCUAAUUGAGUCGGAUGUGAAAUCCCCGAGCUUAACUUGGGAAUUGCAUUCGAUACUGGUUAGCUAGAGUGUGGGAGAGGAUGGUAGAAUUCCAGGUGUAGCGGUGAAAUGCGUAGAGAUCUGGAGGAAUGCCGAUGGCGAAGGCAGCCAUCUGGCCUAACACUGACGCUGAGGUACGAAAGCAUGGGGAGCAAACAGG